AAAAGAAACCAACAGGGAUUGCCCCAGUAACGGCGAGUGAAGCGGCAAGAGCUCAAAUUUGAAAGCUGGCUCCUUCGGGGUCCGCAUUGUAAUUUGCAGAGGAUGCUUCGGGAGCGGUCCCCAUCUAAGUGCCCUGGAACGGGACGUCAUAGAGGGUGAGAAUCCCGUAUGGGAUGGGGUGUCCGCGCCCGUGUGAAGCUCCUUCGACGAGUCGAGUUGUUUGGGAAUGCAGCUCUAAAUGGGUGGUAAAUUUCAUCUAAAGCUAAAUAUUGGCCGGAGACCGAUAGCGCACAAGUAGAGUGAUCGAAAGAUGAAAAGCACUUUGAAAAGAGAGUUAAAAAGCACGUGAAAUUGUUGAAAGGGAAGCGCUUGCGACCAGACUCGCUCGCGGGGUUCAGCCGGCAUUCGUGCCGGUGUACUUCCCCGCGGGCGGGCCAGCGUCGGUUUGGGCGGUCGGUCAAAGGCCCUCGGAAGGUAACGCCCCUAGGGGCGUCUUAUAGCCGAGGGUGCAAUGCGACCUGCCUAGACCGAGGAACGCGCUUCGGCUCGGACGCUGGCAUAAUGGUCGUAAGCGACCCGUCUUGAAACACGGACCAAGGAGUCUAACAUCUACGCGAGUGUUCGGGUGUCAAACCCGUGCGCGAAGUGAAAGCGAACGGAGGUGGGAACCCUUACGGGUGCACCAUCGACCGAUCCUGAAGUCUUCGGAUGGAUUUGAGUAAGAGCGUAGCUGUUGGGACCCGAAAGAUGGUGAACUAUGCCUGAAUAGGGCGAAGCCAGAGGAAACUCUGGUGGAGGCUCGUAGCGGUUCUGACGUGCAAAUCGAU
rnacentral:rRNA from 1 species